GACGCGUGGUAACGUCUGAUGGUAACGUCUGAUUGGUUGAAGAUUUUUUCUAUGGUUAAAACAAAAGGAAUUUGUCUUGACAAAUUUCCAGACUUCUCUUUUCUAUCUCGAUGGCGACGGUUCUGUGUCCCCAGAAAAGCUUGAAGCUGCAAAAGAAAUCUGAUGGGGAAGAGAAAAGAGCGUCGUUUUGCCGCCAUGAAUAGCACCGGCCGUCGUGUUAAGCUUGAUCUCUUUGCGGAACUCUCUGCUUCAAGCUUUUCUGGGGACUUUCUUCUGGACUUAGCUCCCUAGCGUCUUCUGGACACAGUGGUUUGUAUGUCUCUGUCCGUAGCCAAUAAAAAAGAGCAGGUUGAUGGAUUAAUUCAAGAAGGAUCCAAAGAUACAAAUACUGAAUCAGGUGCAGACACCACUAUGCAGAUGGCUAACCAACAACAGACAGGGGAGGAUUCUUCUGCACUUGAUUUUAGAGCUGAAGGAGAAAGUGGUUUUGACACAGUGACUAACUCAACAAUCUUGGAUGGAUUAAACAAGCAGACAGUGGUGGUCAAUCUCGUGGAACCAUACCUAAGACUGGGACUUGUGGUGGUCAGCUCAGUACGACGAGGCAUCACUAUCUGGCGUUGAGCCACUUAUGCAAAAGAUUCAGGGUGAGAUUCGACGGGUUGAUGCUAGCAUUCUCUCUGCUGUUAAAUUGUUAAAAUCAUCUCAGACAAUAUCCUAUAUGCCAAAUCUGUUAAAUUGAUGGGCAACCGGAUUAAUGCUGCUAAGCUUGACUUCUCUGAGGUUCUUUCUCUGUCUGAGUACAGAGCUCAGCUAUACGAUUACCUGAAGAGCAGAAUGAACAUUGUUGCUCCCAAUCUGACUGCCCUGGUUGGAGAACUAGUUGGUGCUCGUCUAUCUCAUAGAACUAGUUGGUGCUCCCAAUCUGUUUUUAAUGUCUUAUUUGUAUGUUUUUAUUUUCCUAACUUUUUGUA